rnacentral:lncRNA from 1 species
GUGUUAGGACCCAUAUUGUGUGCCAUCGUGUGUGUUUUUGUGAAGUUCGAUGGUCCAGUGACUAGCCGGAACAUGUUAGCUGUUCUGGCCUGGGUCUUCUCUUGGUGGCUCACUGAGGCCGUGCCGAUGCCAAUCACCUCCAUGGCACCUCUCUUUUUGUUUCCCCUCUUUGGAAUUUCUUCUGCAGAUAGUGUUGCCCACUCGUAUAUGGAUGAUGUGAUUACCCUGGUUCUGGGUAGUUUUAUACUUGUUCUUGCUGUUGAGCGCUACAACAUUCAUAGAAGAUUGGCCUUAAAUGUGAGUUUCCCUUAUCGAUUUUACUCGUUUCAACUGUAUUUUUCUCCCUCAAGUUGAUUCCUUCUUGUUAGAAAAUUGACAUAGCUGACAGUAAUCCAUAGAACACAUGAAGUUUAUAGCAGCUUCUUUGUGUUUGGAUCGAUUUUGGACUCAAAUUCAAAGUAGAUUAUUAAAAGAUUAUACUAUUUGUUGAAGCAAUUAAAAGGAAAUUUUGCUCAAAUGCUAUCACAAAAAGGGUUUUCUUUUUUGGCAAAAAAACAAUACUGGGUCUUUUAAUUUGCUCAAAAGCUUCAACAUGAUUUCAGACUGCAAAAAAUAUCAAACUAGUCCCUGUAUAUUAGAUUAAAGAACACAAUGGUCCUUUCUGUUAAAAAUGCCAUCCAUAUAUACUGUUAAAAAUUGGUAUGGUUGAUAGAAUAACUAGAUAGUGACAUGUGACAUGCCACAUGUAUUUUAUGCUGAUGUAUAGGGAUCGAUUUUUAAUAGAAAAAUGGAUGAAAUUGUUAACAGAAGAACCAAAUUACUCUUUGAUCUAAUAAAUAAGAAUUAAUUUACUAUUUUUUUAGUAAAUGAGGUAAAAUGCAAUCGACUCCUAAUAUAGAGGUCUCCAUGGCACUUUUACCGAUUUCAAAACAUAUCUUUUACUUGUUAUUAUCAUACCAUUUGUUGUAGUAAAAGUUUUUAAAAUUAUUUUUUAGAUUCUAAAUUAGCCACUAAACUUUAAAAAUGUUCUAAUUGAAUCAUCAAAAUAUUAAUAUUAUAUCAAUCAGGUUUUUUCGUUAACCUAAUAACUGAUUUAAGUCUUAUAUGUAGCAUUUUUAAAAUGUGUGGAUUAAAUUUUAACCAUGUAUGUACUUAUGGACAAUUUGGAUUUAACAUAUUAAAGAAAAACAAUGUUAUUAAAAAGAUAGUGUUACAUUUGAACUAACAUUUAAUGCCGAAGCUAAUGGUUAAACAAAUAGAAAGAUCUAAUUGUUACAAAACUAAUAAUUUAAAGUUUCAAUCAGAAUGUUUUGAAAUUUAGAGACUGAUAUCAAACUUUGAGUCAUCAUUUAAGGACUUAUGGUGAAAUUAACCCAAUCAUUAAAAUGAAAAAGAAGUGCCAAACCCUUUUUCUUUUUCUUUUUUUUCUGACAAGUCAUAUGAACAUAUCUGUUUUGGAUUUAGAGAGACAACAUUAUAUCAUAACCAAAAAUUCCCAUCAUGCCUACUCAACUAACGUUGUGCGUGGAUCACACAGAUCACUUCGCGCUUCUGCGGGGAGCCAGUGAACCCACCUCUCCUCUUACUCGGCAUAUGCGGGACCACUUUCUUCCUCAGCAUGUGGAUGCACAACGUGGCCUGCGCCGUCAUGAUGAUGCCCGUUGCCACCGGGAUCCUACAGCGCCUCCCGACGGGCCCCACCCAAUCCACCCACAUCCGCG